GACGAACGCUGGCGGCAUGCCUAAUACAUGCAAGUCGAGCGAACAGAUGAGGUGCCUGCACUUCUGACGUUAGCGGCGAACGGGUGAGUAACACGUAAGGAAUCUACCUAUAAGCGGGGGAUAACAUUCGGAAACGGAUGCUAAUACCGCAUAAUAUCUUCUUCCGCAUGGAAGAAGAUUGAAAGACGGCUCUGCUGUCACUUGUAGAUGACCUUGCGGUGCAUUAGUUAGUUGGUGGGGUAACGGCCUACCAAGACGAUGAUGCAUAGCCGACCUGAGAGGGUGAUCGGCCACAUUGGGACUAAGACACGGCCCAAACUCCUACGGGAGGCAGCAGUAGGGAAGCUUCCGCAAUGGGCGAAAGCCUGACGGAGCAAUGCCGCGUGAGUGAAGAAGGCCUUCGGUCGUAAAACUCUGUUAUAAGAGAAGAACAAAUUGUAGAGUAACUGCUACAGUCUUGACGGUAUCUUAUCAGAAAGCCACGGCUAACUACGUGCCAGCCGCCGCGGUAA
rnacentral:rRNA from 1 species